CGAGUAGUUGAGGUAGGGAGUGGACAGGUAGGAGCCCGCCAGCCCCUCACUGGGUCCCAGGCGACGUUGGGGGUGGGGGCUGGGCCCCAACCAGGCUUUGAUCUCCACCACAGCCGAGCCGAGGCCCUCGACCGGGUUAUUUGAGGUCUCUGGAAGAGUCAGGGCUCCCCAGGAGUGCCGGGCGCGCCCCGAACUCACACACCAGGCACAAACACACAAACGCGGCGCUCUGUUCCCAUCUUUAAUUCCACUCCCCCACCUGCGGUCACCGAGGGGAAGGGGCAGGGCCGGGAGGGCGCGCCUAGGUGAGGACCAGGUGCCUGUCUGCAGGGACUCCGUAGCGCUCCUUGUGUUCCUCGAACAACUGCGUGAGCCGCUCCACGUAGAGCGCGUGCAGCGCGUCCACUUGCGCCCGGCUGGGCCGCGGGCUUCGCUGCACCGGAAUCGCUGCGCCCACUGGGGGAGGAACACGAUGAAGGGCCGGUCGCUAGGAUGCUCGGGCCGCCCCCAGCCAGCCGGCCGCAGGGAUCUGCCGGGACAGAGUUCAGGGCUGGGGUGGUUGCAAAAGGCUGGCCUGGAAGACGAGGCCGGACGUGCCAGACGCGUGGCGCGGAGCCGAGACACCAGGCCCUAGGCAGGGCGCGGCGGGGAGGGCGCGGGGAGCAGGCGUUGGGGCCCGGGAGCGCAGGGGCGGAGGCCGGGGCUCACCGACGGUGUGGAUGGGCGAGCGGAAGGGCAUCAGGAGGCCCAGGCGGCCGUGGAACAGCGGCAGGGCCACGCUCAGCAGUGACUGCAGCGCCUCCUGCGCCCUCCGCACGCAGGAGCCCGGGGGGUUUGGCAACUGCCGGAAGAGCUCAUUCUCCCCAAAGGAGAAGACAGGCACCAGCGCGGCCCUGGGGGAGCAGGGGCGCCGCUGACUCCUGGCUGCCGGGCGCUCCUCCCCCGUGGGCAGCCCCGGGGACCCCUCUGGCCACUCGGGGCUCCUCACCCGUGUUCCAGGGCCACCUUAACGAAUCCUUUCUGAUUCCGGAUCCGCAAGCUCAAUGCUCCGGGCUUUGCCUCCAACGCCUCCAGGGGCCCUCCCACGGCCAGGACGGCCACCUGGCCGCCCCCAGAACAGGACAACAGAUAGGAAACGCUGGCCUUGUCAGAGGAGACCAACCCUGGGGGGAGGGCAGAGGCUAGGGGACCUGAGGCCUGGGUUUUCAGAGGAAGGCCUGAGAAGGGGGAGCCCGGCCUAGGAGCCCCCUCAGGAGAGAGACUGGGCUCAGUCUGGCUUUGAACUUGCAAUCCUCCUGCCUCAGCCUCCGGAGCCACUAGGAUGAAUGUCACUUCUUUAGACCCAGUGUCCGCCCCAGGAGCCCUGCCCCACCUCGUGCCGGCCGCCUGACCACUGGCCAUAGCUCUCCAUCUCCUCCACCAGCUCGUCACACAUUUGCUCUGACAGCAGCGGGAACCAGUAGACAUCCGGGCACGGCUGCAGAGGAGGGCUGGGCUGGGUGACUCUCGCAGGGGAUGGGCAGUGAAGAGGCAAGGGGAUGAGAGGGCUGGGGGAAGGGCCACCCAAGUUGGGGGACAGGCCAGGCCAAGAACCAGGUCCAGGGCUACAGCAAGACAGGUCUGCACAGAGGGAGGUGCAGGGCACAGUGGCGAGAGGCCAGAGCCUUAGUGCUACCAUAGCUGUUUCCCACGGUGAAUCUCCCACUUUUUCUUUCUCGGUACUGGGGAUUAUUUAACCCAGGGGUACUUUACCACCGAGUUACAUCUCCCAUCCAUCCACCCAUCCAUCCCCAUCCAUCCCCAUCCAUCUAUCCAUCCAUCC